GAAAGAGGUUAACAAGACCACAGAUGCUGCAGACGGGAUUCACACGAAGAUGUCCUUCCCACCAACCAGGCCAUCGCUGGCUUUGUAAGACGCAGCCAACUGCCACCAGGUGGCAGAACAAGAUGAGAAAACUGUGCCCCACGGAGUCCCUGAGCCCCUUCUGCUGCAGUUUUUGAGUGAGUUUUCUCAGGGGCCGGAAUCAGUCCUGGGGAACCAUCCCAAGGUUCCGCCCUCUUAAGCUAUUCCAGGGUGCACCCAGGGCCUGCCUGGUCCAGGGUUUCUGACGUCUAUGAUGACGCUUAAGGCAGUGACAUCGAUCAGCAGGGCCUCUGGGCUAGGAGACCCAAUUCACCUCCUCAUUAGUAACCCUGGGAUGUGGUAGUAGGUGGCUUCAGGCAGGAUGAGGGGCGAGUUGCAUCUGUCAGUAUGUCAGGGUAGUGACAUCUGUGAUUCUGCAGGGACAUUUGGACGGCAGGGAAUCAGAAACGCCAGAAAGCGAGGGUCCGCAACGCAAAACCUUGCCAACUGCUGUGGACUGAAUUGCGUUCCCCCACCCUGCAAUUAAUAUAUUGAAGCCCUGACCCCUAACGGGGCUGUAUCUGGAGCUAGAGCCUUUAGGAGGCAAUUAAGGUUAAAUGAGGUCAUAAGAGUGGAGCCCUGCUCCGACAGGAUUAGCGUCCUUAUGAGAAGAGACGCCACAGAGCUCAUUGUAUCUGUCAGUAUCUCGAGGUAGUGACAACUGUGCUUCUGCAGGGACAUUUGGGCAGCAGGGAUGUCUCUUCUUCUCUGCACUGCAUGCACCCAGGAAAGGCCAUGUGACGUCUUAGCAAGAAGGAGGCAAACCAUGAGGAGAGCCUUCAGCAGAAACCAAAUCGGCCAGCACCUUGAUCUUGGACUUCCCAGCUGGCAGAACUGUGAGAAAAUAAAUGUCUGUUGUUUAAGUCA